UACGUAGGGGGCUAGCGUUGUCCGGAAUCAUUGGGCGUAAAGCGCGUGUAGGCGGUCCGGCAAGUCCGCUGUGAAAGCCGGGGGCUCAACCCUCGGAUGCCGGUGGAUACUGUCGGGCUUGAGUACGGAAGAGGCGAGUGGAAUUCCUGGUGUAGCGGUGAAAUGCGCAGAUAUCAGGAGGAACACCAAUUGCGAAGGCAGCUCGCUGGGACGUUACUGACGCCGAGACGCGAAAGCGUGGGGAGCAAACAGG
rnacentral:rRNA from 1 species